GCUGGUUAGCUCAGUUGGUAGAGCGCUCCACCUGUAAUGGAGAGGUCCCGGGUUCGAUACCCGGACCAGGCG
rfam:Ixodes scapularis strain Wikel colony gcontig_1107728907534, whole genome shotgun sequence.